rnacentral:rRNA from 1 species
UACGAAGGGGGCUAGCGUUGCUCGGAAUCACUGGGCGUAAAGGGUGCGUAGGCGGGUUCUUAAGUCAGAGGUGAAAUCCUGGAGCUCAACUCCAGAACUGCCUUUGAUACUGAGAGUCUUGAGUUCGGGAGAGGUGAGUGGAACUGCGAGUGUAGAGGUGAAAUUCGUAGAUAUUCGCAAGAACACCAGUGGCGAAGGCGGCUCACUGGCCCGAUACUGACGCUGAGGCGCGAAAGCCAGGGGAGCAAACGGG